rnacentral:lncRNA from 1 species
UUCCGAUCUAUCUAAUCCAAUCUCUGAAACAAAGUACAAACAGUCAAACAUACUAAAAGUCUAAAACUUACAAAUCAUUGCUUCCCAUAAUUAUUGACUCAUUCUAUAGGAUGGACAGCUCUCAUAUGUCUUGUAAAUGGUCCAGUCCUCCUAAAUUUCCUUCGGUCAAAUGUUGAAAAGUUUCGUUACAAAUUUUGCACUUAAUACUA